CAUAACGACUCUCGGCAACGGAUAUCUCGGCUCUCGCAUCGAUGAAGAACGUAGCGAAAUGCGAUACUUGGUGUGAAUUGCAGAAUCCCGUGAACCAUCGAGUCUUUGAACGCAAGUUGCGCCCGAAGCCAUCCGGUCGAGGGCACGUCUGCCUGGGCGUCACACACC
rnacentral:rRNA from 1 species